CUGUGAGCUCGAUGAGUAGGGCGGGACACGUGGUAUCCUGUCUGAAUAUGGGGGGACCAUCCUCCAAGGCUAAAUACUCCUGACUGACCGAUAGUGAACCAGUACCGUGAGGGAAAGGCGAAAAGAACCCCGGCGAGGGGAGUGAAAAAGAACCUGAAACCGUGUACGUACAAGCAGUGGGAGCACAGAGCAAUCUGUGUGACUGCGUACCUUUUGUAUAAUGGGUCAGCGACUUAUAUUCUGUAGCAAGGUUAACCGAAUAGGGGAGCCGAAGGGAAACCGAGUCUUAACUGGGCGUUAAGUUGCAGGGUAUAGACCCGAAACCCGGUGAUCUAGCCAUGGGCAGGUUGAAGGUUGGGUAACACUAACUGGAGGACCGAACCGACUAAUGUUGAAAAAUUAGCGGAUGACUUGUGGCUGGGGGUGAAAGGCCAAUCAAACCGGGAGAUAGCUGGUUCUCCCCGAAAGCUAUUUAGGUAGCGCCUCGUGAAUUCAUCUCCGGGGGUAGAGCACUGUUUCGGCAAGGGGGUCAUCCCGACUUACCAACCCGAUGCAAACUGCGAAUACCGGAGAAUGUUAUCACGGGAGACACACGGCGGGUGCUAACGUCCGCCGUGAAGAGGGAAACAACCCAGACCGCCAGCUAAGGUCCCAAAGUCAUGGUUAAGUGGGAAACGAUGUGGGAAGGCCCAGACAGCCAGGAUGUUGGCUUAGAAGCAGCCAUCAUUUAAAGAAAGCGUAAUAGCUCACUGGUCGAGUCGGCCUGCGCGGAAGAUGUAACGGGGCUAAACCAUGCACCGAAGCUGCGGCAGCGACGCUUAUGCGUUGUUGGGUAGGGGAGCGUUCUGUAAGCCUGCGAAGGUGUGCUGUGAGGCAUGCUGGAGGUAUCAGAAGUGCGAAUGCUGACAUAAGUAACGAUAAAGCGGGUGAAAAGCCCGCUCGCCGGAAGACCAAGGGUUCCUGUCCAACGUUAAUCGGGGCAGGGUGAGUCGACCCCUAAGGCGAGGCCGAAAGGCGUAGUCGAUGGGAAACAGGUUAAUAUUCCUGUACUUGGUGUUACUGCGAAGGGGGGACGGAGAAGGCUAUGUUGGCCGGGCGACGGUUGUCCCGGUUUAAGCGUGUAGGCUGGUUUUCCAGGCAAAUCCGGAAAAUCAAGGCUGAGGCGUGAUGACGAGGCACUACGGUGCUGAAGCAACAAAUGCCCUGCUUCCAGGAAAAGCCUCUAAGCAUCAGGUAACAUCAAAUCGUACCCCAAACCGACACAGGUGGUCAGGUAGAGAAUACCAAGGCGCUUGAGAGAACUCGGGUGAAGGAACUAGGCAAAAUGGUGCCGUAACUUCGGGAGAAGGCACGCUGAUAUGUAGGUGAAGUCCCUCGCGGAUGGAGCUGAAAUCAGUCGAAGAUACCAGCUGGCUGCAACUGUUUAUUAAAAACACAGCACUGUGCAAACACGAAAGUGGACGUAUACGGUGUGACGCCUGCCCGGUGCCGGAAGGUUAAUUGAUGGGGUUAGCGCAAGCGAAGCUCUUGAUCGAAGCCCCGGUAAACGGCGGCCGUAACUAUAACGGUCCUAAGGUAGCGAAAUUCCUUGUCGGGUAAGUUCCGACCUGCACGAAUGGCGUAAUGAUGGCCAGGCUGUCUCCACCCGAGACUCAGUGAAAUUGAACUCGCUGUGAAGAUGCAGUGUACCCGCGGCAAGACGGAAAGACCCCGUGAACCUUUACUAUAGCUUGACACUGAACAUUGAGCCUUGAUGUGUAGGAUAGGUGGGAGGCUUUGAAGUGUGGACGCCAGUCUGCAUGGAGCCGACCUUGAAAUACCACCCUUUAAUGUUUGAUGUUCUAACGUUGACCCGUAAUCCGGGUUGCGGACAGUGUCUGGUGGGUAGUUUGACUGGGGCGGUCUCCUCCUAAAGAGUAACGGAGGAGCACGAAGGUUGGCUAAUCCUGGUCGGACAUCAGGAGGUUAGUGCAAUGGCAUAAGCCAGCUUGACUGCGAGCGUGACGGCGCGAGCAGGUGCGAAAGCAGGUCAUAGUGAUCCGGUGGUUCUGAAUGGAAGGGCCAUCGCUCAACGGAUAAAAGGUACUCCGGGGAUAACAGGCUGAUACCGCCCAAGAGUUCAUAUCGACGGCGGUGUUUGGCACCUCGAUGUCGGCUCAUCACAUCCUGGGGCUGAAGUAGGUCCCAAGGGUAUGGCUGUUCGCCAUUUAAAGUGGUACGCGAGCUGGGUUUAGAACGUCGUGAGACAGUUCGGUCCCUAUCUGCCGUGGGCGCUGGAGAACUGAGGGGGGCUGCUCCUAGUACGAGAGGACCGGAGUGGACGCAUCACUGGUGUUCGGGUUGUCAUGCCAAUGGCACUGCCCGGUAGCUAAAUGCGGAAGAGAUAAGUGCUGAAAGCAUCUAAGCACGAAACUUGCCCCGAGAUGAGUUCUCCCUGACUCCUUGAGAGUCCUGAAGGAACGUUGAAGACGACGACGUUGAUAGGCCGGGUGUGUAAGCGCAGCGAUGCGUUGAGCUAACCGGUACUAAUGAACCGUGAGGCUUAACCUU
rnacentral:rRNA from 1 species